AUGCAUUCAGGCAGCCUUGAGAAAGUGGGUUCGCUGAGGAGACGGACGCUGUCUCGAGGAAUGAGCGAAGAGGAGUCUCUAAGACACAUUAUCAGAGACGCAGAAGAAUCGAGCAGACACCUGUCACGCAGCGAUAGCAGAUAUGGAUCAUUAAAAAGAGGACAAAGACAAGAAAGCCAUAGUGAAGAUGAUCUACUUACUGAAAACGUAGAAAUGGAAAGAAGCAGCGAGCUGUUUCAGUCGAGGCCGGCGGGGCCCGUCUGCCUCCUGGAGGGGACAUCAGUGGACCGAGACGAACAUCCGCUCGCACACAGCGAAGGCACCUCCGUGGAUCCGAGCACGAGCCAGCUCUUACAGCUGAAGACAGCGGUCAGCCAGACCCUGAGUGUGUCAGUGUUGCGCAGUCAGAAGCCUGGUGCUCAGGGUGGAGAUGAUUACGACGAAAGCAGCGGCUAUGAAGACGCUCCGUCCGAGUUCUCGCCCAGUCCGUCCACUCCAGACACGCAGCCGGACGGAGCUCUGCUGGACAGCGAGGCUGAAGAGGGAGGAGUUGGGAUGAGUGACUCCGAGUCUGGCCUCUCUAAAAGUUCAGAUUCUUGUGCUCUCUCUUAAAUUAUUCUAGUUCUGUAAAACGAUUAAUCACAUCCGAAAUAAAAGGUUUUGUUUACAUAAUAUAUGUGUGUGU
ensembl:lncRNA